rnacentral:lncRNA from 1 species
UUUUUACACCAGCUUCGUUUACUUUGAAGAAGUAAAUGACAUUGAUGUUCACAAUAUCUUUUGUAUAAGUCGGUGAAAGUAUUGGCAACAACCGCAAUUGGCAUGCUCAACAGGAACAAGCCGAACGUUGCACACACUGAUGCUAAAAUCUGUCCAUAUUUUGUUUCGGGGUAAAUAUCUCCGUAACCGAUUGUUGUCAUAGUGAUCAGAGCCCAAUAAAAACUGCUGAUUGGAUCUGUGAAAGGUCCAUUCAUUUCUACAAUGUGUAUAGUGAUACCAAAUAUAAUGGCUGAAAUAAUCAAAACCAAAAUAAGUAGGGACAACAUCUUCUUACUUUGUUUUAUCGACAGAAGCAUUAUACGUAAACCUUCUAUAAAACGCUCAAGACGGAAAAAUCUGAAACCGCG